rnacentral:rRNA from 1 species
AUACGAAAGGUGCAAGCGUUGUUGGGAUUUACUGGGCGUAAAGAGAGUGUAGGUGGUUUAUUAAGUCGGAUGUGAAAUCCCGGGGCUCAACCUCGGAACUGCAUUCGAUACUGAUAGGCUAGAGUUUGGGAGGGGUAAGCGGAAUUCCGUGUGUAGCAGUGAAAUGCGUAGAUAUACGGAGGAACACCUGAGGCGAAGGCGGCUUACUGGACCAAUACUGACACUGAGACUCGAAAGCGUGGGUAGCAAACAGGAUUAGAAACCCUAGUAGUCC